AAUCAAGCCUGGGCAAUGGCGGGCGCCCCUCCCCCAGCCUCGCUGCCGCCUUGCAGUUUGAUCUCAGACUGCUGUGCUAGCAAUCAGCGAGACUCCCUGGGCAUAGGACCCUACGAGCCAGGUGCGGGAUAUAAUCUCGUGUUGCACCGUUUUUUAAGCCUGUCGGAAAAGCGCAGUAUUCUGGUGGGAGUGACCCGAUUUUCCAGGUGCCGUCCAUCACUCCUUUCUUUGACUCAGAAAGGGAACUCCCUGACCCCUUGCGCUUCCCAAGUGAGGCAAUGCCUCGCCCUGCUUCGGCUCGCGCACGGUGCACGCACCCACUGACCUGCGCCCACUGUCUGGCACUCCCUAGUGAGAUGAACCCGGUACCUCAGAUGGAAAUGCAGAAAUCACCCGUCUUCUGCGUCGCUCACGCUGGGAGCUGUAGACCGGAGCUGUUCCUAUUCGGCCAUCUUGGCUCCUCCCUCUGAAGGCUACAGACACUUAUUGAGCAUCUACUAGAUGCCAAAUUCUGUGCUGCUGCUACAAUCCAUUGAGACUUUAACACCCACAUGGAAUACGCAAUUGGGAGAGAGUGAAGGAGUACUGAAGGCAAACUCAGGGGCUACACUUCACAAAAAUAGGAGAUUUGGAAUUUACAAAGAAGAAGAGGAGAAAGAGGAGGAGGAGGGGAAGGAGGAAGAAAAAGAAGAGGAAAAAGAGUAACAACAACAUAAAGCCAUAAGUCAAAGAAGAGUGUAGGGUUGGAUGAUGUUUUUCAAACAUUUUUGCCUGUGACUUACACUAAGAAAUAUACAUCUACACAGUGACCAGCUAAUGCUCCUCCCAUAAUUCACACACAGAUGACUAAAACAGAAGUUUCACAGAACAAUAUUUAUCUUUCGUGAGGCACGCUGAUAUUUUCUUUUUAAUUUCUAUUCAUUUAUAUUAUUUUCUGUAUUUUUCACUUAAAGACAUGCCAGUUGUGGCCUACUGGAUUGAUUUUCCUGCCCCAGUUGAACACAGACAGGAAUAGAGGUCCUUCGUGCAUGCAUGUGGAUUGUGGUUACUGAAGGGUCACAGGAGACUGCACAGGAGGAGGGGACAACUCACGACAGCAGAGUGGGGGCCACAGAGCCAAGGGCAAGCACGGAGGCCCAGGAAGGAAGGAUGGAAAAGAUGGUGCUGAGAACCUGGAAGUGUCGUAUUGAGAACAGAAAACGUACAGGCCAUUGACUGAACAUUCUGCUUGUUAAUUACAUAUUUUGGGAUUUUGAAGAAAAAGACAAAAUGUGUAAGAAGCAGAUUAAAAUUAGAAACAUGAGCAAGAGUAGGUGGUGGGAAAGUUAAAUGUAAGGAAAUAAACUGUUCCAGGACUUUUUUUUUUUAAAGGCUUUUAUUUCAAGGUCAGAAAAAUGUCACGGAAGGAAAAAAAUUAUUAUUUAUUUAAAAAGAAAACUGAAAUGUAAAAGAUAUGACAGAACUCUUCGGGAGGUAGAGAGAGUGAGGAAGAAAAGUGAGUACAAAGCAGAGAGGAAGAAUAUUGUUGCAGAAAAUCAUUGGUUCUAAUUCCCAAUUUCUGCCCAGCAUUGAUGAGGGAGGGGAAUGAACACGCAAUGGAAGCUGGAGAUAGACAUCUGGGAGGCCUCUGUAGGGAUACAAGAGCCAACCUUCUGUAAGAGGGGGAGAAAAAGAAGGAAGAUGUGUGAGCUCCCCCUGGUGCUUUCCCGCAUUCAGGCCAACUGAAAGGAGCUGCAAGGAAACACGUCUACACAGGCAUCAGGAAAAAGAAAAUAUCUGGAUUAUUUCCUUUAAAAAGGCCUGUUUCCAUGCUGAUGGGCCUCAGAGCAAGACUUCCAGGCUUCGGGCCUGAAUUCUGUAUGUCAUCUUAGGAGGAAUUCUUGCCUUGUCAGAGAACGUGUUUCUAAAACAAAAUUUCAAGUGGGGGAUUUGCCAAGCUGUCCUGCGGACAGGAUUACUCUUGGAAUCAAACGGGAUUACUUUUUGUCCAGAAUUGUUCCCUUUGUUAGGCUAGUUAUUCUUUGACUGAAUAAUUUUCACACACUUCUCUUUGUAUGUGUUGACAGCACAAAGAUAUCACAGGAAUCUGGUACCAGCCAAUUUGACUGGUGGUGACUUUAAUUCCAGACAAUAUCUCCUAUCCUAAUAAUAACCUGUAUUCGUAAUGGCCUCUUUAACACUGGGGGUCAGGGACUUCUGUGGACUCCAGUCAUCUGUGAAGAUCGUCGGGGAGAUUUCACUCAGUCUAUUCAGUAUAUCCAGUAUAGUGGCCUGAAACAAUUUAUCAACGUGUAGUCAGUCAGUCCUGCUCUUGGUCCAUACAGUGGAGAGUCUAAAAGAUGUGUGAAAUACAUUCCCUACCUACACAUGGGCAAAUCACUUAAAGGAGCAAACUUUAAUGUUCACUAACAUAGUUAAAAUGGAUGGGCCAACAUUAUCAUGGUUCUUUCACCUCCUAAGUAAAUGCAAAGCUUUUCUUCACUCCAUUUUGUAUGUGUAAUUUUGAUUGAGUGGGAAUCUUGUAAAGCCAAAAAUGGAACUGAAAGCCCACUCAUAAGACCAUAAGUUUUUUUUUUAAUUUUUAAUUUUUCUUUUCAGGCAGGGUAUUGCUGUGUCGCCCAGGCUUGAGUGCAGUGGUGCCAUCAUGGCUCACUGCAACCUCUGCCUCCCAGGAUCAAGCGAUCCUCCCACCUCAGCCUCCUGAGUAGCUGGGACUUACUGUUGUGCACCACCACAGCUGGCUAAUUGUUAGAAUUUUAAUUUUUAUUUUUUUGUAGAGACAAGGUUUUACCAUGUUGUCCAGGCUAGUCUUGAACUCAUGGACUCAGGUUAACCACCUGCCCCAGCCUCCCAGAGUGCUGGGAUUACAGGCAUGAGCCACCACGCCUGGCCAAGACCAUAAAUCUUAAUUAAUCUAGUUCAUAGUCUCAAAUUCAUUCUACUCUCUGAUUUUUAUUUCUCCCAACUUACUGUGUGCACGCACCCCCCCUUUUUAAUGACAUUUCUCUGAUUUGCACUGCCAUCCUCUCUCCUACUUCAGUGAUCCAGCAUCCACAAUUCAUUUUGUCAUAGGUGAGGCUUACCUCUUUCCUGUCAGUUCUUCACCUGUACAGAUUGCUUCCUUUUCUCUUUUUGCACUUAUUGUUUGCAACACCCAAUGACUUCUUGUAGAGAGCCCAAUUCUGUAGUUGAUAAAACCCACACAUGCACGUAUGUUACAUCUGGCUCGGAAUUGGAAGCUCCAUGGAGAAAGGAAAUGGCUUUUGUUUCUUCAGUAUCUUCACACUCCCAAAUGUGCUGAUAUCUUUAGUCGUUCUUAGCUAAAUGAGUCAAUUGAAAUAAUAAUCUGGAGGGAUUUUUUUAAAUCUCAAAAAUUUUCUAAGUCCCAUGUCUCUUAAAUGAAAAAUUGUCAAAUGAAGGAGCCAUUUUCAGGAUUUUAAUUUAUGUAUUAAUGGUACUCUACUUCCACCCCAAAAGGAUUUAAGGUGAGCUUAAAAUAUUAUGAAAAUAAGAUAAGAUUAUUAAUUCCAUCCAUGCAAGCUCUAAAAUCUUCUAUUUCUAGAUACUAAUCUAAACAAUGAAGAGGUUAUUUUUUAAAGACAAAAGGUGUGCUUUAUAAUAUCUCUCAUUAUCAUGUUAAGAAAAAAAACCAAAAACACAGAUAAAAAAUUUCAGAAAUAUUUUUGCGUUUUCUUUGCAUAUCAUACACAUACACACACACACAUACAUACAUACACAGUCACACUAGAACUGUACUGGCAGUGAACAUAGGUUGUUUAAAGUAUAGCUAUUCAACUGUCAUAUAAAGUGAAAUCUAUAUUUUCUCUCUCCCUAUAUGACUAUAUAUUUAACAUCUCUAUGCAUAUGUGUGUGCAUACAUAUGUAUAUGUUAUAUACACACACUCCACAUUAUUAUUUCAAAGGGGAUUUUGCUCCUUCUGGCUACCAGCAAUAACUAGUCAAUAUUUACACUCUUGAAUAUCGAUGACAUCAUGCAUACACAGGAAAGCUGUGGAAAACAUCUCCAUUUUCAAACAGAGUUUUAAUUAUUUGUAAAGACUUCAAUUGUUCACUAAUGUCAUGGAUUGGUCCUCACAGUGUGAAGUGCAACUGCCCAGAUCCCCCACAGUAUUAUAAAUAGUCUUCUAAAGCCGGGUUGAUUGAUGUUUGGCAUAAAACUCUAUUCCUCUGAGCACAUAUAUUCCUUCUGUUCACUAUUUUCAUAGAAAAAUACCAGGGCUGAUUUUUUAUUCAAAUCUCCAAUUUAUGCAGGGUUUAAACUACUAAAUACUUAAAGCCGUUUUCAGAUCUUUCCCCCCUUUUCUGUUAGGUAGGUAACUAAAUCUUUGGCUUCAAUGCAAAUAAGAAUUGGAGAUUUAGCAGAUUCCUGUGGGGGAGAGGAAGAGUUUAUUAAUUAUAUUGAGAAUCAAAUAAUAUGCUUCUUUGACACUAAUGUUCCAUCUUUCUCCACCCCAAGUAUCCUAUGGGACAACUUUAAAGCCUUUAUCAGGGUCUAAAUUACUGCAUUUAUGGUUCCUUAGAAGUAGGAAUUUAAUGAAUGGCAUUCUGAGUUGAAGAGAGAAUUUGAAGGUUUAAGCUGCAACGGUGAAGCAAUUUUUUUCAAAGUAUGUGGCAGGGAUUGUAAUAUAAAACAUCAAAAAAAGCACAAUAAAAUACAUUUUCAUGAGUGUUAAUAAAUUUUUAAUACUGAUGAAAUGUAAAUUUUUCCUUCAUGACCCUUAUCUGCAUUUGACAGAGUCCAACAGAAAAUUUUAAGUACCUGUUUAAAGCAAUUUACAAGAUACUGUGGAGAUUCCCAGCAAUAAAGAAUGUACUAUAGUUAAGCUGGAAUCCAACUCCUGAAUUUCUGGAGCCCUGAAGACCACUUAGUCUUACUCACAAGAAUUGAAUGGAAUGUGAAUCUACACUCAGGUGAAGCCAGGGUAUUUUGAACGUCCCUACAAGACUGAAGCACCACUGGGAAAUAAGUAAUAGAGAUGCCAUCAUUGUGGAGGUCAUAAUGCUUGUCCUGAACACGAGGGGUCUCUAGUGAGGCACCAAUUCAGCUCCUCUUCUGUGGAGAGACUACAUGGGUGCUGAAGAAACAAAGACACAACGCAGCUCCUCUCAAAGGAGUUCAGAGCUUAGCAGGGGAGACAGAACCAUGAAUGCAUAGUUACGCAUCAAUGUGCUGCACGAGCACUGAAGCCCAAGCACAAGCGGCCUGAGUCCCAAAAACAUUUGCUGACUGCUGUUCUAUCUAGGAUAUCAUCAGUGUGUAGAUGAUCAGAGUUCAUGUCAGUGUUCCUACAAGCCAAUGAAGAAAAACAGAGAUCUGUGUUCUGAAUGGAAAAAUUCCUACUGAUGCCACCCACUAGUCUGGAACAAGUCAGUCUCAAACAUAACAACAGACACUGGGGAGCUCUCCAACAAAAGAUCACCUCCCAAAGAACAGGAUGGUGUCGAAGACUGAAUGCCAGCCUGAGGAAACAGAAAUACUACAGAAGCACGCCAGAGCCUGCAGUGUCUCCUCGCUGCCUCUCAAUGAACUGCUAAAAGACCAAGAACUCUGCUGAGAGAUAAGAAGAGGGGAGGGUGUGCUGCAGGUGGUGCUGGGAGGCCCAGACCUUCUCCUGACAUCUGGGGCUGGCUACAGGAAACAGAAACAUCACCCAGGCCUUGGCGCGAGACAGGACAGAGGCAGAUUGUGACUCAGAUCUGCAGGUGGAAAGUGGGCCUUUCGUUUUCUCCUAGGGGUAGAGCAAAGCCAGAGGGCUCAGUCAGAGGAAACCUAAGGCAGUUCAUGAUCCCUUCAACUUUAUACCAUUUCCUCAAAACUGCCUCCAAACAGUGGGCAACUGGAAAGGUGGUCUGACCUCCAGUGAUCACACAGUAUGCAUUAUAACAGAAGGCUGUCACUGUCAAUUGCAUGGCUCCCUCACUAUGCAUUCCUUCUAUCAAUUUACGACAACACACUGUAGUGAGUACCUGCACAUUGCUGGGUAUUUUGGCAGACAUUGAUAGUAGAUGAAUAACACCUGGUACUUGACCUUGAGACGCUCACUGCCUAGUGUGGGGAACCAAUGGUUGCAAUAUAAAGUAUUAACUAGAGGGAUAGAGGACUGCCUGAGGAUCUCUGCACUCAGAGGAAGGGCCAUGAGAUCAGCCAGGACAGUAGGGAGGCAGUGACUCAUGAAAUUAGCAAGUGGUGAGAAGAGGGCAGUAGAUUCAGCGGCUGCUAAAAAAGGUUACUGAACUUUUUGUUUCAUCAAUGCCAAGAAAUUAAUCUGUUUUAGCCUCUUUCAUGGCCUCUGUUUGAAAUUUUUUAACUUUUUUUUUUUUUUUAGAUUUAGGGGUACAAGGACAGUUGUAUUGCAUGAGUAUAUCAUAUAGUGGUGAAGCCUGGGCUUUAAGUGCACCUAUCACCCGAAUAGCGUACAUUGUACCCACUAGGUAGUAUUUCAUUUCUCACCCUUCUUCCACCUUUUGGAAUCUCCAGUGUUUGUUGUUCUACUCUGUAUGCCCAUGUGUACUCAUUGUUUCACUCCCACUUAUAAGUGAGAACAUGUGCUUUUGACUUUCUGUUUCUGAGUUGUUUCACUUAGGAUAAUGCAUGUUCCUGUUUUGAUUCAGUCAAAAUCCUGGGGUCAGCACUGACAAUGUGAUUAACCCCUGUCCUAAAUUCACUGCAGAGGAACUGCUCCCAUAUGACUACUUAUUACCACCCAAGCCAGAAACCACAAAGAUAUUCUGACCUCUCCUCCUUCACUCCCCACCAACUGGUGAGUAAGCUAGUCACCAAGUCUUGAUUCUACUUGCAAACAUCUUUGGAAGGGAUCUCUCACUCCACACAGUCUCUGUCAUUGCCAAGUAUACCCAUUACCUCUGCUCUGUCCUACGGCUCAUCAUUCCUCAUCUACAUGCUGCACCAACCUCCUAACUCCCAUUCCUCCCCCUCCUAGUUCACUGCCAUAGCGUAAUCUUUCUAUAUCACGGAUCAUAUUGUGUCCGAAAUUGGUGGGUUCUUGGCCUCACUUACUUCAAGAAUGAAGCUGCAGACCCUCGUGGUGAGCGUUACAGUUCUUAAAGGUGAUGUGUCUGGAGUUUGUUCCUUCUGAUCAUGUUCGGAGUUUCUUCCUUCUGGUGGGUUCGUGGUCUCGUUGGCUUCAAGAGUGAAGCUGCAAACCUUCAAGGUGAGUGUUACAGCUCUUAAGGCAGCGCAUCUGGAGUUGUUUCUUCCUCC
rnacentral:lncRNA from 10 species